rnacentral:rRNA from 1 species
CGUAGGGGGCAAGCGUUGUCCGGAUUUACUGGGCGUAAAGCGCGUGUAGGCGGCCACGCAGGUCCGUUGUGAAAACUGGAGGCUCAACUUCCAGACGUCGACGGAAACCGUGUGGCUAGAGUCCGGAAGAGGAGAGUGGAAUUCCUGGUGUAGCGGUGAAAUGCGCAGAUAUCAGGAAGAACACCAAUGGCGAAGGCAGCUCUCUGGGACGGUACUGACGCUGAGACGCGAAAGCGUGGGGAGCGAACAGGAUUAGAUACCCUGGUAGUCCACGCCGUAAACGAUGGGUGCUAGGUGUGGGAGGUGUCGACUCCUUCCGUGCCGUAGCUAACGCAUUAAGCACCCCGCCUGGGGAGUACGGCCGCAAGGCUA